rnacentral:rRNA from 1 species
AGUAGUUGUAUCGUGGCUCAGGACGAACGCGUGGCGGCGUGCCUAAUACAUGCAAGUCGAGCGAGGAGAUCCUUCGGGAUGAUCCUAGCGGCGGACGGGUGAGUAACACGUGGGCAACCUGCCUCAUAGAGAGGAAUAGCCUUCCGAAAGGGAGAUUAAUACCUCAUAACAUUGCAGUUUCGCAUGAAACAGCAAUUAAAGGAGCAAUCCGCUAUGAGAUGGGCCCGCGGCGCAUUAGCUAGUUGGUGAGGUAACGGCUCACCAAGGCGACGAUGCGUAGCCGACCUGAGAGGGUGAUCGGCCACAUUGGGACUGAGACACGGCCCAGACUCCUACGGGAGGCAGCAGUGGGGAAUAUUGCACAAUGGGGGAAACCCUGAUGCCAGCAACGCCGCGUGAGUGAUGACGGCCUUCGGGUUGUAAAGCUCUGUCUUCAGGGACGAUAAUGACGGUACCCGAUGAGGAAGCUCCGGCUAACUACGUGCCAGCCGCGGC